GGUAACCGACAGAUGCAGUAGACUGGUACAGCCGCCAUGUUAGCUGGCUCCAGCUUGAGAGAAGCGCCUUCUUCCUGCUCAACAAAUUCUCCCUAAGGUUUCCUCUUCCUCUGUGUUUCUGCGAUGUCGGAUAACCAUUGCUAACUUUCUACCGGUGACACCAGCUCUAAAAUAUUCGGCAUGAACAAACUGAAUUUGAAGAUUCCCACCUGAUGGAAGAAAAGUAGCUGACGAAGCAGCUGAAGCUGGUUGGGCCAGGGAUACGGUCUUGAAGAAUUCCUGAUGUAAUGUCCAUGCACUGUGACACUGGUAUCAGCUCCUUUAAUGUGGGGUAGGAUGUGAGACAGGGAAGAGAUUUUUCCUUGAUUCCUAUUGACCACUUUUACUGGCAUUUCUUCAAAUAGAGCCAUUUUGUUAGGUGGAAAACAUAACAGCUCAUUGCUCAUAGGAAGGUCAUACACAAAUAGCUGGAUAAUCAUUUCAGGUGCUUUCAGUUGAAGAAUAAGUCUUGGGUAAGACACAGGGCAAAUACCCAUGUUCUUCUUUGAGCAAAUCCCUGAAAUCUUUGCUUCCAUCUGAAAUGAAAUCUCCAUCAAUGAAACAUUGUAACAGGUAGGAGUUGGUGCAACAUUUAAAGGAAGAAGGGGUACCUUGCAGCAUGGAAAGAGCAGAAGGAGAGGUGAGUGGCUGUUGAGAACGGCAAAAAAAAAUUGUAAUACAGUCUCUAUGAGGUCAGACAAAAGAAGGGAGGGAUAAUAAGGUGUAAAGAGACCUGUCUGAAUUUUUCCCUCUACAAGUUCACCAUUGUGAAAGUUAUUUGCCAUGUUGUCGUACCCCUUUCCAAAAAGAAAAAUGACACUUGUAUUAUUCAAUUGCCAUUUGCUCUCAUGCUAAGUGUGACUUGCUGCAAGCUAGAAAAGAAUGUGUUAGCGGCACAUCCUUAGAUCGAAUCAAAUGUAGUGUUAACGUGGGCAGGUGCAUCAAGGGUCACAAUGAUGGUGACAGCUGGCAAUGGAGAGUAAGAGAAGAGGUGAUAUAGUUAGAGGGAUGUGUAGUACAAUGACUGAAGAGGAAUGGAGAAGGGUGUGUAGGGAUGAGGUGACAGUAGUCGUGUAAAGAUGCUGGAAGACAGCCAAAGUCAAACCUGUACAGUGCUGCAAUCAUUUCAAGCAAACCAAUCAGAAAGCCUGUUCUCUUUAAAAAUUCCUGGACUCAUCGCUCUGCCCCAUCAACGUUUUAGAAAAUAAAGUUUGUUAGUUUGGUCAAGUUCUGUAUCUUCAUUACAAUGUCUUCCCUGCUUUCUUUUGUCUGAUUAUUAAUUACCUAUAGGUGCAUCAAAAUUCCAGAAUAUUAAACACAGAAUAGCAAAGGCAAAGGGUUGAGAAGAGCCUCCAGGACUAGCUACAGCUAUGCAAGUUAUUAUUGUUGCAGCCGAAUUAGACUUUUCUAAAAUUAAUUCAUAUUUCUUCCUGUCCCUCCAGCAAUCUUUCUUUUGAUCCUUUGCCAAAAUAUUCUCCUAACCUCUACCCUCAAAAUAUAAAAUAUUAGGGAGCAGAAGUCUAUUCUGUUCUUUUGAAACUACUCUACUAAUCAACAAGACCAUGACUGAACUUCUACUUCAAACACCAGUUUCCCUACAUUCAUGUCCUUUGAUUCUUCUAAUAUCCAGAAAUAUACAAUCUGUUUUAAAUACCAUAAAUAGCUGAGCUUGCACAGAACUCUAGAAUAGAAAAGUCCAAAGUUCCACCACUCUUUGAAUGAAAACAUUGCCCCUCAUCUCAGUCCCAAAUGGCUGUGCUUAUUUUGCAAUUGUGAACCCUUCAACUUGACUCCUUUUACAAAGUUUAAAGUACAUUUAUUAUCAAAGUACAUAUACCAUAUACAAACUUAAAGAUUCAUCUUUUUGCAGGCAACCACGAAACAAAGAAAUACCAUAGACCCAUUAAAGGAAAAACCCCCAUACAACAAGAUCAUCAAAUGUACGAAAAAAAGGAAAGAAUCGCACAAGCAACGAAAGGUGAACAAAUAACACACGGAUCACUAAACAUCAAACCGUAGAAUCCCCAAAAGUGAGUCCACAGCCACAAGGUGAGUGAAGCCAGUCCAGGGGCUGGUGGCUGCGGUCACAGCCAUCGAGUCAGCACUGUGCUAAUGCCUGCAGGCCACAGUCGCAGGUCCAGUUCCACACCGAAGCACCUCGAUCAAAUCACACAAAUUGUAAAGAGCGCUCAGUGCUGAGGAUGCUAAAUGUCAAACCGCAGCCGAAAGUGAGUCCAAGAGAAACAUUCUAGUUAUAUUUAUUAUGUUGAGCUCGCUAAGAACUUUGUUUAUUUUAAUAAGGCUACUGUGGUGAACUACAUAUACCUGUCUCAACAUGCCCCCCCCCCCCCCCCGCUGACUGCUCCUGUGGCUCCUCCCACAGACCGUGGCUCCUCCCAUAUCCAAGCCUAUAUCUCGCCUCACGUCUCCGAGAGUUAUUGAUGGUGCAUCAGCUACCUCAGAUUCCAGUGAACCUCAGGGAAUAGAGGACUAGCCUACUCAAUAUCUCUUCAUAAGACAGGCCCACAAUCCCAAUAACCAAUCAGAUGACUCUUUCAUUCACUCAUUAAAGCAAAUACCGAGACCAAGAUUGUACACAAUAUUCAGGUGGGGACUGGACAUAUCUUUACUCUUGUAUUAAAAUCUUGCACAUUGCAUGGCAUCAGAGCAUUUGCUUUCUGUAAUCUCUGCUGCACCUUCGUGAUAGUUUUCAAAGAUUUAUGUACAAGAACAGUCUGUUCACUUUGAACGUCAACAUUUCUCAAUCUCUCAUUGUUUAUAAAAUACCUUUUGUUUCUGCUAAACUGGAUAACUUCAGAAUUUUCAGUACUACAUGCUAAGCAUCAUGCCACUGCCCACUCACUUUAUAUUUACCUAAUCUUCUUGAACCCUCUUUCCAUUCAAUUUUAUUACUCAUGUUCCUACUGUCACAUGCCAGUGAUAAUAAAUCUGAUUAUGAUUCUGACUUUGUUCCAUGUGAUUAGCAAACUUGAAUGUGUUGUACUUCACACCCCCCCCCCCCCCCUUGCUGCCAGGCUGCCAGGUAUGGAUUGUGAAUUAUUGGGACCCAAGCACUAAUCCCUGUGGUACAACCUGCCAAACUGAGAAGAAUCAUUUAUUCCUACUGGGGAAUAAUUCCCUAACAUGCGAAUACAUUGUCCUUUGUUUCAUGUCCUCUAACCUUGUUCAUCAAUCUCCUAUGAAACCUUUUCAAAAGCCUUUUAAAAAAAAAUACAAAAACACCACAUCACUGGUCCCCUCUCAUUUACCCAAUGUACCCAGGGCGGAAAUGGCUAACCUAGGGGCACAGUUUUGAGGUGCUUGAAAGAGGGUGCAGAGGGGAUGUCAGGGAUAAGUUUAUCACACAAAGAGUAGUGGGUGCAUGGAAUGCAUUGCCGGCGACGAUGGUGGAGGCAGACACAAUAGGGCCUUUUAAGAGACUCUCAGAUAGGUACAUGGAGCAUAGAAAAAUGGAGGGCUAUGUGCUAUGAAAAUUCUAGUCAGUUUCUGGAAUAGGUUCCAUGGUCAGCACAACAUUGUGGGCUUGUAGUGAACUACGUGUGCCUGUCUGGACACGCCCCCUGCUGACUGCUCCUGUGGCUCCUCCCACAGACCCCGGUAUAAAGGCGAUCAAGGCCUGAGCCCGGCCUCUCAGUCUCCAGGAUGUAGUAUGGUGGUCACUCACUGCUUGUUCCUUCUUCCAGUCAAUAAAAGCCAAUAUCUCGCCUUUACGUCUCAGAGUGAGUUAUUGAUGGUGCACCAGGGUUGAAGGGCCUGUAAUGUGCUGUAGAUUUCCAUGUUCUAUGUACAUCUUAAAGAACUUCAAUAAAUUAAUCAGACACAACUUUUCCUUUCAUAAAUCCACACAGAUUCUGUUCAGUCAUAAUAUUUCAUUAUACAAAUUUUCUUUGGUUCUCUAAUGGUUCCUGCAGGAGAUCUCAUCCUUUGUCAGAGAUUUACGGCAUUUUCCCUGCACUCUAUGUCAGGCUAACACAAAGGUAGGUCUCAUUUCAUUCUUUCUUAAAUAGUGAGGUCAUAUUAUCUACCCUCUAAUCUGCAGGACUCCAUCCAUAAUCAAACUAAUUAUUUGCAUGUUAACCAGAGCAUCCAUUAUCUCUACAGGCAGCUCUUUCAAAUCAUGGAAUGCAGAUCAUUAAGCUCUUCAAUAUUUCCUGUACCUUUUGUUAAUAUUAUUUCUUAAUUCCUUUUAUGUGUUGAAUCUUUGGAUCUCCAGUUUUUCUGAAAUGUUUUUUUGUGCUUCCUUUCGUGAUGUUUAAUUCCAUUGUAAUUUCCUUAUUGCCCAUUAAAGGGUCACCUGUCUCUUAAGCUGCCGGUUUCCUUCGUGAAUCCAGCAAUCCACUGUCACAUUCCAGAUUGUCACAGAACUUGUGCCACCUCCAGGAGAUGAUUCCACAUUGUAGAUUUUUCUGCCACGUGACAUCAACCGGGAAGGACGCAGUAUCCUCCUAGCCUGAAGAAUGCCCUGAGAGUAGCUCCAAAAGCCGUACAAUGAACAGGAUAAAUGCAGACACAAGCUUUUGUCACUAAUAAAUGUAAAAACAAUGAAAGUGCAGUAGGUAUACAAACCUCAAACUAGUGUGGGGAACUAGGUAUUUGCAUAGCCCUGUCACCUGUUUAUAUAGCAUUUUCUUUCAGUAACACCGAGAGCAGAGCAAAGCAAAUACACAGCUGGAUCUGCAAUUGACAGCAUGGUACAGUAGCAAUGCGGUGUAGCAGGUGCAAGAGAACAAUGGGCAUAUGUAUUAGAUACAAAAUUACAGGCAAACUAUCUGCACUGUCACAUAAAUCUAUCAUUAAAGAAAUAUAGGAUGUUGACUUAAUUGUUAUUUUUCAUUACAAAUGUAACCAGCAAAUGCAAUAAAUGAAUUAAAAAGAGCUUUUAACAUCGGCAAGAAUGUCUGCUUCUCUGUCCCUCAUCUGGUGUCAAGCAACGCUGCCAAAAUGACAUGACUAGAACCAGAUGCUUUUUUAAAAAUAAGCAAGCCAGUGUUCAUUAAUCAUUUUUUUUUCCUCUCAAGGUGUGGGCGAGAUUAGAAAAGUGUGUAUUCGUUCCCCAUCUUAAGUUGCCCUGGUGACCACCUUCUUGAAUUGUUAGUAGGAGUUUGUCUCCACAGAGUUUAACUGGCAAAUGAUCGGAAUCUGCAGAAGAAGUAAUAAUUUGUCAAAAUGAUUUAGCUUCCUUCUUGCUUCGUAAUCUAGGUGAGAAAACCCCACUCAAAUUAAUGGGAAAUGCUGGCAGGUGCCAGAUUUGACGGAUGUGAGAUGGAAAAAGUGGGAGGAUGACGGAAUUGAUGGCUUUAUGGCCAAGUUUGCAGAUGAUACAAAGAUAGGUGGAGGGGCAGGUAGUGUUGAGGGAGUCUGCAGAAGCACUUAGACAGGGUGGGAAAACGGGUAAAGAAGUGGCAGAUGGAAUAUAGUAUAGGGAAGUGUAUGGUAGAAG